rnacentral:rRNA from 1 species
GGGACCAGCACAAGCGGUGGAGCAUGUGGUUUAAUUCGAAGCAACGCGAAGGACCUUACCAAAUCUUGACAUCCUUUGACAACUCUAGAGAUAGAGCUUUCCCCUUCGGGGGACAAAGUGACAGGUGGUGCAUGGUUGUCGUCAGCUCGUGUCGUGAGAUGUUGGGUUAAGUCCCGCAACGAGCGCAACCCUUAAGCUUAGUUGCCAUCAUUAAGUUGGGCACUCUAAGUUGACUGCCGGUGACAAACCGGAGGAAGGUGGGGAUGACGUCAAAUCAUCAUGCCCCUUAUGAUUUGGGCUACACACGUGCUACAAUGGACAAUACAAAGGGCAGCGAAACCGUGAGGUCAAGCAAAUCCCAUAAAGUUGUUCUCAGUUCGGAUUGUAGUCUGCAACUCGACUACAUGAAGCUGGAAUCGCUAGUAAUCGUAGAUCAGCAUGCUACGGUGAAUCCGUUCCCGGGUCUUGU